ACCAGAAUCUGCUGGAGUGCAACGGCACAAUCUCGGCUCACCGCAACCUCCGCUCACCGCAACCUCCGCCUCCUGGGUUCAGGUGAUUCUCCUGCCUCAGCCUCCUGAGUAGCUGGGAUUACAGGCACGCACCACCAUGCCCAGCUAAUUUUUAUUUUAUUUUAUAUUUUUAGUAGAGACGGGGUUUCACCUUGUUGACCAGGAUGGUCUCGAUCUCUUGACCUUGUGAUCCACCCUCCUCGGCCUCCCAAAGUGCUGGGAUUACAGGUGUGAGCCACUGCGCCCGGCUGUUUCUUUCUUUCUGUCUUUUCUUCAUUUGUAAUU
rnacentral:lncRNA from 1 species